GAUAGUGUACGAUCUGAUCAGCCAUGCCGCGUGCGGGAAGAAGGCCUUCGGGUUGUAAACCGUCUUUUGUCAGGGAAGAAAUCUUCUGAGUUAAUACCUCGGGAGGAUGACGGUACCUGAAGAAUAAGCACCGGCUAACUACGUGCCAGCAGCCGCGGUAAUACGUAGGGUGCGAGCGUUAAUCGGAAUUACUGGGCGUAAAGCGUGCGCAGGCGGUCUUGCAAGACAGGUGUGAAAUCCCCGGGCUUAACCUGGGAACUGCACUUGUGACUGCAAGGCUGGAGUACGGCAGAGGGGGAUGGAAUUCCGCGUGUAGCAGUGAAAUGCGUAGAUAUGCGGAGGAACACCGAUGGCGAAGGCAAUCCCCUGGGCCUGUACUGACGCUCAUGCACGAAAGCGUGGGGAGCAAACAGGAUUAGAUACCCUGGUAGUCCACGCCCUAAACGAUGUCAACUGGUUGUUGGACGGCUUGCUGUUCAGUAACGAAGCUAACGCGUGAAGUUGACCGCCUGGGGAGUACGGCCGCAAGGUUGAAACUCAAAGGAAUUGACGGGGACCGGCACAAGCGGUGGAUGAUGUGGUUUAAUUCGAUGCAACGCGAAAAACCUUACCUACCCUUGACAUGUCUGGAAUUUUGCAGAGAUGCGAAAGUGCUCGAAAGAGAACCAGAACACAGGUGCUGCAUGGCCGUCGUCAGCUCGUGUCGUGAGAUGUUGGGUUAAGUCCCGCAACGAGCGCAACCCUUGUCAUUAGUUGCUACGAAAGGGCACUCUAAUGAGACUGCCGGUGACAAACCGGAGGAAGGUGGGGAUGACGUCAGGUCCUCAUGGCCCUUAUGGGUAGGGCUACACACGUCAUACAAUGGCCGGUACAGAGGGCUGCCAACCCGCGAGGGGGAGCCAAUCCCAGAAAACCGGUCGUAGUCCGGAUCGCAGUCUGCAACUCGACUGCGUGAAGUCGGAAUCGCUAGUAAUCGCGGAUCAGCUUGCCGCGGUGAAUACGUUCCCGGGCCUUGUACACACCAUACACAUAUGACUAGUA
rnacentral:rRNA from 1 species